CCUACGGGUGGCAGCAGUCGAGAAUCAUUCACAAUGGGGGAAACCCUGAUGGUGCGACGCCGCGUGGGGGAAUGAAGGUCUUCGGAUUGUAAACCCCUGUCAUGUGGGAGCAAAUUAAAAAGAUAGUACCACAAGAGGAAGAGACGGCUAACUCUGUGCCAGCAGCCGCGGUAAUACAGAGGUCUCAAGCGUUGUUCGGAAUCACUGGGCGUAAAGCGUGCGUAGGCUGUUUCGUAAGUCGUGUGUGAAAGGUGCGGGCUCAACCCGCGGACGGCACAUGAUACUGCGAGACUAGAGUAAUGGAGGGGGAACCGGAAUUCUCGGUGUAGCAGUGAAAUGCGUAGAUAUCGAGAGGAACACUCGUGGCGAAGGCGGGUUCCUGGACAUUAACUGACGCUGAGGCACGAAGGCCAGGGGAGCGAAAGGGAUUAGAGACCCCAGUAGUC
rnacentral:rRNA from 1 species